rnacentral:rRNA from 1 species
UACAGAGGGGGCAAGCGUUGUUCGGAAUUACUGGGCGUAAAGGGCGCGUAGGCGGCCUGCUAAGUCGAACGUGAAAUCCCCGAGCUCAACUCGGGAACUGCGUCCGAUACUGGCAGGCUUGAAUCCGGGAGAGGGAUGCGGAAUUCCAGGUGUAGCGGUGAAAUGCGUAGAUAUCUGGAGGAACACCGGUGGCGAAGGCGGCAUCCUGGACCGGCAUUGACGCUGAACGGCGAAAGCUAGGGGAGCAAACGGG